AUGGGGGAAAGGUCAACAUAUUAAUUACAUCGCCUGUUGAUUUUGUUUUGAUUGUGUCAUUUUGCUAUAAAGAUGAGACAAUUGAAACUUCAACAGAUGAAAGGUUGUUUUGCAUUGAAGUAAAAAGUGAUGGCACAAAACAACUUAAAAGAAUCAUGCAUAUUACUAUCAAGUUACGGCUCAGUUGUCAUGCACAGGUUUGAGAUACUGUGAUUUGUUGUGUGGACAGAGAAAGACUUGUUUGUUGAACAAAUCUUGCAAAAUAACGAAUUACUUGAAAGGAACAUGGAGGCAGCAAAGAAAUUUGUGUUGAAAAGACUCCUUCCAGAGUUAACUGGAAAAUGGUACUGAAGACCCAAAAAAUUGAAUAAAUGAAAUAUAAUGAAA